UGUGGGAGCUGGCUUGCCUGCGAUAGCGGUGGGUCAGCUGACACUCUAUCAACUGACAGUCCGUCAUCGCAGGCAAGCCAGCUCCCACA
rnacentral:misc_RNA from 1 species